UAAAGCAGCCCUGCCCAGAGGAGGGCAUCCUGGCCCUAGAGGCCCACUAAAACCGAGGGCUUUCAAGGAACCCAAAGGCGGGGGCCAGGGCCAGGCAGAAGCCCCAGCCCCUCCGGGGAAGGGAAGCGCCUGCUGCCCCUUGGGGUUCCCUCCAGACAAGCGGGGCGCCGGCAGUCCUGGGCCUGGCCUCCUCCCUUUGGAGCAGGACGAAGGAAGAAGCAGGGCGCUGUUUUCAGGUCGCCUUUGGCUUUUGUUUGGCCACGUCCUACUUUUUUCUAGAGGGUCCUCCAUUUGGAGCAGGAGUACGAUUUUUAGUGUUUUGGGCCUUUCUUUGGUCGUGUCCUCCACUUUGAACAGGACUAAGGAGCAGGGGUUUGUCUUUAUAUGAGUGUCCUUCUGGCAUUUCCUUGGCCAUGGCCCCCAUUUUUCUUGAAGACCCAGCCCAGAUUUACAUGAGUGUUUUUAGCUUUCAUUUGGCCAUGCCCUCUAUUUUGCUUGAAUGUGCUCCACUCGGAGAAGGACUGAGAACCAUGGAUUUACAUUCACAUUCGGACUGUGCAUCUCUGAGGACAGUUGAAUAUGUCUUGAAAUACGCAGACACAAUAUUGCACAAUAUGUUUGCUCACUCUGAAUUCUUGGGUUGAAUUGUCUCAACUUAUUUACAAAGCCAGGAAGAACUUACCUAGCCUUGAAAAAAAAAAGAACUACAUACCCAUAAAGAACCCACAGGAGGCCAAAGAGGUUGUAUAAAGAAGGGAGUCAUUGUUUAUAGAUGCUCUCCUCUGGCAGCUAAGAAAGAUCCUUAGAAUCCUGAAGCUCUACAUUCCAUUGAUGACUGUCAAAUACUUUGUAUAACUUUGGAGUAAAGAUGACAUUUUCACUCCGUGUGAUGCUAACUAUUUCACUGCUGGUCAAUUUCGCAGUGAUAUCUGUCCCUCUCUAGUACUGCCAUCACCUUCUUUCUUUGUAUUUGUAGGAAUAUUAAUAAUAAACAUAUGCAU